AAGCAUAAUUAUAAACUACUUAAAAUGUGGAGGAAACAGGGUCAAGAGUCAAGACGACCUCUUAUCUUCUUUAAAUGUUUGCCCUUUGUUUCUUGAACAAGUCAUAUUUGUUUGCGUACACAUUGUGAUAACGACAUUUUCAAUAUAAAUUAUUUUACGUCAAAAACAAAACCAUCACGUAAAUUUUACAACAGUCACGUAGAUCUCUAAUUUAAUGAAUUCUCGCAACCAAAUUUGAUUAAAUAAACUAUAUACGUCUUAUUUUCCCUUAGUUGCGUCAGUGGUUCAAUUUGCUGGCUUUCUUCAUGUAAAUCAAGAAGAGAGUUAUUUGACGAAGUCAUGUCUGUGUAGAGACGUAACGAUAAUUAAAAACAAUGUGAAAAAUAUAAGAUUUUUUCACUCUCCAAGACACAUUUUGAGUUUGGCAUUUCAUGAUAAGGCACAUGUCGCAUGAGGCAACCUUUCUUAUGAGAUAAAGACAUCGAUACUCUCAUAUAAAUGAAACCAAACCAAUCUGAGUAUUUCCCUAAACCGAAUCAUACCAAGACCAACUUAUACGAAACCUAGCGAUCUAUCUUCCUCAUUUCCCCUCUUUUCUCUCUCUUUCACUUUCUUCCAAAGUUUGCGACGGAGAUUAAGAACCCUAGCUUCAGGUUUGCGGCAGAGAUUAAGAGCGCCGGCGUAGACAUCUUCCAACAUACGAAACCCUAGCGAUCUAUCUCCUUCAUUUCCUCUCUUUUAUCUCUCUCUCACUUUCUCUUAACAUUUGCGGCGGAGAUUAAGAACCCUAGCUUCAGGUUUGCGGCAGAUUAAGAACGCCGGCGUCCACAUUUUCCAACAUGCGAGGUUUACUCCGAGGAAACAACAAGCCGGACAAACGCCUCCCACCGAGGCUUUUCGCGACAGACCGGUUCCUACCGGUCGGCUCAACAUCUACUCCAAGCCAGACAUUCUACCUUUCAUACAACAUGUUUUAAGGAACACGGAGGAGCUUCAGUACAUCAAAAACUCUUGUUUCGGGAAGUUGUUUGAGCUCCCAGCACGUCAAUGUCCUGUCUCGUGUAAACUAAUUCACUCCUUUCUCACCAGACAACUACUUUGAACACAUCUCCCGUCCACAGCUCCCCUGAACACACACCUCCCGUCCACAGCUCACCCGUCCACAACUCCCCUGAACACACAUCCCCCGUCCACAGCUCUCCACAACACACAUGGUGGAGGCCAAAGUCUUGGAUCUCGUCCACGACUUCCAGUGCCUCUCGAAGAGCGUAACUGAACAGAUUGACUCACACAAGACUUGGCUACAGGAGCUUGAGGUUAAGAUGAUGUCUAAGCUCAAUGAACACAUGUCGAAGGUUGCCCAAUCUAUGGAUGAAGCAACUCGACAGUUCAAAUAAGACAUAGAGGCUACUCUCAAUUCAAACAUGAACACAACACAGCUCAGCGACAAUGGACCGGGCCACAACUUCGCAGCUGUUGUUGGCAUUGUUAUAGCUAUCGCAUGCCUUUAUUGGAAGCUCCUCUGAACAUUAGAACUAAGUUAUCGAUUCCUGCUUCUAGUUUUAGUUCUUCGUAUCUACUAAGUUCUUAUGUCAAUCUAUGAAUCCUAGUUCAGCCAACUAUCUCAUCAUAUAAUCUAAUAUGAUUUACAACUUACAUUUAUAAUUACCACAUGUGUUGUUUGUGGAUGUUUGUGAUGUAGGGGAUGUACCCUGUGUUCGCCUUCCUUUAGGUUCGUUGUACAUGUGUUCCUUGUACAUGUCCACAUCCACACAUCUAUUUAGUUGUGCGUAUAACAACGCCUACCUGCACUACACACUUCUUAAUCUGACAAUCAAAAAUGAUAACAAAAAUCAACAACAACUCCACAUCAUUAAUUUUUGGAAACACAAUUAUCCACAAGUGAGUAUUUAGCUUUUUUGGCAUUCAUAAUGCCUAAAGGAAACAAUUUUUUUUAACCUAGUUUGCUCCCUCUGGCGCAAACAAAGAAGAUCAUGUUUGUUUCCUGUUCUUCAACGUCGAGAACCAAUAUGCAUUUAAUUCACGUCAUUUUCACAUCCAACGCUCACACAACUUUUAAAUCUCACCGUUUGAUUUAAAAAAAAAUUUCCAAUCCAACGGUGUCAAACUAAAGUGUCACCAUGUUGCUUCAUUGUUUACGAACCGGCCAGACAGCUAGCAAACCGGUUUCCUAAGCGGACAACAUCUUCUCUAUAGUAACUUUGAGGGCAGAAAUGUCCAAUUUCCUUCUUGAUCCAAGAUAUUGUGCCUUGCAAGCAUAUUGUGUCUCUAUAUGCAAACAAAAGACAUAAUGUGUCCCAUACGGUAAUCAACUCAAAAUAUAAAGUCUAAACUGUAGUUAAUUGACAAAACAAGAUAUUGUUAUGGUUCAAAGUCAAAUGUAAAAACAAUAUGUACCAUUUUUUCAUAUAUUCAUAUUUUCAAACGAGUAGAUAAGCUUCAAUUAUUUUUAGAUUCCCUCUUUUCUUCUCAAAAGUGUCAGUGAAUUUGUUGUUGUGUGCCCUGAACGGCACAGCGCCCACACCAACUUGAAGAUUGUUAUUAUUGACACGUCUCAGACUAUGACUGGUCCGGAUAUACGCGGACCAAUUCGAGUCCAGGGUCCCCAUUAGUGCACGAAACAGUGUUUAUUGGAGAGCCGAAAAGUUUUGAUUCUUUUGACAAAAAUAUAAAAUUAUCUCAAAACUACAAGUUCUGAUUCCAAAGUGACAUCUAAGAAACUCCAUAGCAUGAAAGCAACCUCUGUAAGAUAGGAGAGGAGAACCUAUCCGAGGAAGUUGAUGAUCACCAGGUGGAGGACCAAGUUGCAGAGUACAAAAUCUGCAAAUGCUCGUUCUGGUGCCAAAUCCU